UCCACGUGAUCCCCUUUUUCACAUUAAAAAAAAACUUUCACCAAAUGAAAGUGAAAAACCAAUUGUACUAAAAUACGCCAAAAGACGGUGCGCAAAACGCACAUGGGUGCAGGUUCUGUCAUGGGUCUAGGUCGGGAAAUUUGAUUACUUACUAUAAUUAAAGUUUUAAUCACAAGAUUAUAAUUAUGAACUAUUAUAAUUAUUUCAACAAAUUAUCAAUUUUCUCUGCUAUUCUAUAUUUUCCCCUUGCCUUCUCUUUUCUUCGUAUCUCAGUGCUUUCAAAUUUAUCAUUCUUACUUUUCACAGGAAUAUCUAAGCUUUCCUAAGUCCAUCCAUGGCGUCGCCAGUAAUUUUAUUUAUCUAACUGAUUUCAUUAUUUUCUGAAUCUCCACGUUUAAUAUAUUUAUAUAUUUUCUAAAGUCUCUUUUUCAUAAGUUGGAACCUUCUUUAAUUUUCCUACUUUCAAUUCUGACCCAAGUUGAUCUUCUUUUUAAAAAUAUAUAAAUAAAUAAUCCUUUAAAAGAAAAAAAAAUGAAGAUAACAAUUGUAUCCAUUUUAUACCCAAUAGCCGUUGUCCUAAGCUUUAUAAUAAAGUAAAAUCUUUUACUUUAUUCCAGGGAAUAAAAUUCAGAAUGUUUGCAUUGAAGAAAGAUCUCACCUUUUAUAUCACACUAUUAAUUAAUUCAUCCCUUUUAGAAAGUUAGUUGUUAAUGGAAAUUAGCUCAAUGGAUUCAAAGAGAAAGAAGGAAUCGGCGGAGUCAAAACACUUCCCUGGUGAGGUUUUGGAGGGAGUUUUGGGUCUGAUAAAGUCCCGCAAGGACAGGAGCUCACUUUCUCUGGUCUGCAAGGACUGGUACAAUGCCGAGAGAUGGUCUCGGACCUGCGUCUUCAUCGGAAACUGCUACUCAGUGUCGCCAGAAAUCUUGGCGCGACGAUUUCCAAACAUUCGGAGCGUAACCCUGAAAGGGAAGCCUCGAUUCUCGGACUUCAAUUUGGUUCCUCGCAAUUGGGGAGCAGAUGUUCAAUCAUGGCUGUCGGUUUUCGCCGUCAAGUACCCGAAUCUUGAGGAGCUGAGGCUUAAGAGAAUGAGUGUUAGGGACGAGAGCUUGGAGUUUCUGGCUCAUUCAUUCCCUAAUUUCAAAGCUCUUUCACUUUUGAGCUGUGAUGGCUUCAGUACUGAUGGCCUUGCCGCCAUUGCCACUCAUUGCAAAAACUUGGUUGAGCUGGACAUACAGGACAAUGAUGUGGACGACAGAAGUGGCAGUUGGUUGAGUUGCUUCCCUGAGUCCUUCACAUCAUUGGAAACACUAAACUUCGCCAACCUAAAUUCUGAUGUCUGUUUUGAUGCUCUUGAGAGACUUGUCAUUAGGUGCAAAUCGCUCAAGACUUUGAAGGUUAAUAAAAAUAUAAACUUGGAACAAUUACAAAAGCUUAUUAGCCAUGCUCCAAGAUUAAUGGAGCUUGGUACUGGUAUGUUCAUUCAAGACCUCACUGCCAAUCAGCAUUCAGAGCUUGAAAGUGCCUUUAACAAUUGCAAGAAUCUACAUACACUCUCUGGCCUAUGGGAAACUAAAGCCUUAUUUCUCCCGGCUCUGUAUCCUGCUUGUACGAACGUAACUUUUCUAAAUUUUAGUUAUGCUGUUGUUCGAAGCCCCGAGUUUGCAAGUCUUCUGUCUCACUGCCCAAAUCUUCGUCGCCUUUGGGUUCUUGACACGGUGGAAGACAAGGGACUUGAGGCUAUCGGAACUCACUGUCCCUUGCUUGAAGAACUUCGUGUUUUUCCUGAUAACCCCUUUGACCCGGAGGUUAUCCAUGGGGUGACUGAAUCUGGAUUUCUGGCAGUAUCAUUUGGCUGCCCCAAACUCCAUUAUGUACUCUACUUUUGCAGGCAGAUGACAAAUGCUGCAGUGGCAUCCAUUGUAAAGAACUGUCCUGGGUUCACUCACUUUCGUCUAUGCAUAAUGGAGCCUGGAAAGCCAGAUUACUUGACAAACGAGCCUAUGGAUGAAGCUUUUGGUGCAGUGGUGAAGACUUGCACUAAGCUCCAGAGACUUGCCGUUUCAGGUUUAUUGACUGACUUAACGUUUGAGUAUAUUGGGAAGUAUGCCAAAAAUCUGGAAACCCUUUCAGUGGCAUUUGCUGGUAGCAGUGAUUGGGGAAUGCGGUGUGUGCUGAGUGGCUGUUCAAAGUUGAGGAAACUUGAGAUUAGAGAUUCCCCAUUUGGGAAUGAAGCUCUUCUUUCGGGUAUAGAGAAGUAUGAGUCCAUGAGGUCACUUUGGAUGUCCGCUUGCAAGGUCACAAAGAGUGGCUGUCAACUCUUGGCCAGAGAGAUGCCUAGGCUGAAUGUUGAAGUGAUCAACGAUGAAGGGAGUGGGGACAUGGUUGCUAAUAAAAUUUAUGUUUACCGCUCUGUUGCUGGGCCUAGAAAGGAUGCUCCGCCUUUUGUUCUUACUCUCUGAAGUUUCAGAAAACGUAAUAGUAAUCUCUCUCUCUCUCACACACACGCCCAUGCACACAAGUUCCUCGGGAUAUUUCCAUGAUAAAUGGAAUUGGAAUUAGAAAAUGAUCUUGCGUUUGCUGUGCUUCUGGAAGUGAAUGGUUUUCGUUCACUAAGGCCAAAAAAAAAAAAAAAAAAAAAGGAAUCCUUAGUUAGAAUGGGAUUCCAACUCAGCCCAUUCUUUCUCAUUGUGCUAGUAGAUUUUUAGCAUCAGUGGAUGACUGAACAUCUAGUACCAUAUAAUAUCACAUGCAUUCCAGUUCUAUCUCAAAUUACUACAAUUUGACGUUUUCUUUAGCAUGGUCUUGAUCUAUCUUGGCCUUGAAAUUUUGUACCCUCAAUUAGAUGCACUUAUCAAUGAUUCGUGGAGGGUUUGUGCAACUUUAUAACACUCCUCACUCCAAUUAGUGAUAUAUGAGAAAUGUUUCCACAUAUAGAGAUGGGAAUUCACUCCCUCAUGCUACUGAAUGUCAAUAUGAUGAAGGUGAAAAAGAAGAGCAAUCAGAAUCACUACUUGGAUAUUGUUUGUUUUAAAAUGACAAACCUGAAAGUAAUAAUAGGUAUAUAAUGAGAUACAAACAGAGUAUAUUUCUGCACAGCCUCCUCCAUCUCAGGGAUCAAGUUCUCUUCAGCGUUUGAACUAUUGCCACCCUGAUUAGUAAGAAGGUGAGGAUGCCAUGGCAGAAAUAGAUAAAAUGAAGAGCUUCUUGCUGCAUGGCUUGUACCAACGAUGGCUUUGCCUUCUAACAUGGCUAAGGGAAAAAGGAGAGUUGAGAAGCAAAAGUCAGCUGGGAAACUAAAAAGUGAGAGUUUUUGCUCUUUGAAGUCCACUGCUUUGCUGGUGAUCAUUGCAUCCAUGUAAAGUAAACCGCUAUGGCCCUAUAGAGAUUGGCUUGUUCUGUGUUUGUAUAUGAUUAUCUCUAAUAAACCACCAAGGAGAAAGAGAAUUGAUAAAUAAGGGGUCCACUUUAUCUUGUGAAUGUGGGAUUUAUGUGGCUUGUAUAAAGUUAGAACUCUGUUUCA